GCUCAGGCACUUCAUCAGCAAAAGAAAACCUUAUCAUGUUUUUAUAUCCAUUUUGUGAUUUGCAGGAUGAAGCACAUUCUCACUUCAAUACUGUUGGGAUGAUUAACUUAUGGAAAAGGAGUGUAUGUUGCACAACAUGGGCUUGUCAAGUAUCUUCUGUGGUUUCAGUUAACAUGCUUCGUUCUGUUAUAGUAACCAUGACAGAUAGCAGGGCACAUAAGUAUUUUUACUAAGCAAAUUCCGUUCUUCAGAUCCUGAUGGGAAAAUCACAAAGAACAUGAAACAGGAAGCCAAAAGUGUAGGGAUAAGGUUGCAAAUCUCACCUUGGAUACUGCAGAACACACAACUAGUAUAUUGAGAAGUUUGCUAACCACCAAAGUGAGCAACGUGUCAUUCUCCCUUUGUUUAUUAUUCAUUGUGCC